rnacentral:rRNA from 1 species
UACGUAGGGGGCGAGCGUUGUCCGGAGUUACUGGGCGUAAAGGGUGCGCAGGCGGCGGUUCGCGUGGCGAGAUGAAAUCUCCUGGCUUACCUGGGAGGAUGGUCGCCAGACGGGAUCGCUUGAGGGUCGGAGAGGGGCGUGGAAUUCCGGGUGGAGCGGUGAAAUGCGUAGAGAUGUGGAGGAACACCAGUGGCGAAGGCGACUCUUUGGCCUGUAACUGACGCUGAGGCGCGAAAGCGUGGGGAGCAAACAGG